GCAGUGGGGAAUUUUGGACAAUGGGGGAAACCCUGAUCCAGCCAUUCCGCGUGUGCGAUGAAGGCCUUCGGGUUGUAAAGCACUUUUGGCAGGAAAGAAAUCGCGCAAAUUAAUACUUUGCGUGGAUGACGGUACCUGCAGAAUAAGCACCGGCUAACUACGUGCCAGCAGCCGCGGUAAUACGUAGGGUGCAAGCGUUAAUCGGAAUUACUGGGCGUAAAGCGUGCGCAGGCGGUUCGGAAAGAGAGGUGUGAAAUCCCAGGGCUUAACCUUGGAACUGCACUUUUAACUCCCGAGCUAGAGUAUGUCAGAGGGGGGUGGAAUUCCGCGUGUAGCAGUGAAAUGCGUAGAUAUGCGGAGGAACACCGAUGGCGAAGGCAGCCCCCUGGGAUAAUACUGACGCUCAUGCACGAAAGCGUGGGGAGCAAA
rnacentral:rRNA from 1 species